rnacentral:rRNA from 1 species
UACGAAGGGGGCUAGCGUUGUUCGGAUUUACUGGGCGUAAAGCGUGCGCAGGCGGCGCGUUAAGACAGGUGUGAAAGCCCCGAGCUUAACUUGGGAAUUGCGCUUGUGACUGGCGAGCUGGAGUGUGGCAGAGGGAGGUGGAAUUCCACGUGUAGCAGUGAAAUGCGUAGAGAUGUGGAGGAAUACCGAUGGCGAAGGCAGCCCCCUGGGCCAAUACUGACGCUCAUGCACGAAAGCGUGGGGAGCAAACAGG